CCCCCCUUCUACUACCCCAGCAGCCCCCAACCAGAGUUGUAUUCCCCCUCGCUCAUCAUUCGUUCCAUGUACCCACACCCCAUGGACUGAUUUAAUCUCAGGAUCCUCUUUUAAAGAAGAGGGUUACAAGCUUAAGUUCGUCCCUCCCGCUUCUUUGGAGGGAAAACUGUUGCUUUUCUUCCUUCUAGCACCUUGGAGGCAGGGUCUGCAUGUUGGAGUGCUGCCGCGGUUGGAUUCUUUCUGUGCAAACGUCCACCUUUCUCAGCUGUGAAGGCAUCGCUAUCGAGUCAAUGGAAGCAUUGCAAAGAUGUGAAGUCCCAUAUGCUUGAUAAUGGGGCUUAUUUUGCAGCCUCUCUCAUCAUGUUCUGUUGCAUAUGAAUGUUCGAAGAACUUUGCCGCUGUGGUUGAGUUUUCUGAAGCUUAAACUACACCUUUGGACAGAAGAAGGCCUUAGUAUUAUUGGGAGCCUCAUUAGUACCCCAUUGUAUUCGGACGUAAGAACGAAGAUGAAGGAUUGGCUAUCUUAUGCAAGUAUUCUAAUUGAUGUGUCAGCUGAUUUCAGUUUUAGUUAAAAAAUAUCCAUCCUUCCAGAAGAUGGUUUGGUCUUCGAUCAAGAAGUCAGGUUUGAUUGGAUACCACCAUGUUGUCUUCAUUGCCAUUGUUUUGGCCAUAUUGAUCGUGAAUGUAUGAACCUGUCAAAAGUUUCAUUGAGCAAUCUGAUUGAUGUGAAUCUGGGUUCGUGCCACUCUGAACAAGGAUUUUCAGAAGAUCUUGAAGCUGACAAUGUUGAUCCUGAAGGGACUAUGAUGUCAUCUUUGUCUUCAUCUGAGAAAAUUAUUGGCCGAGAUAGAGCUUCACCACCGGGUGGGGUGGACGACGAACAGACUUUCCGGGAAGAAUCCUUCAUGACUGUACCUUGAAUGGUGCCUUGAUUUACGCCCAUGCUGUUCUCUCUUCAAUGCAUGGUAUUUCAAAUUCAAACUUUUCCUCUUAUAGCGCUUUUGCUCAAUUAGCGAAUUUGGAUCCCUCUGUUUUAGGAGUUGUUGACUCCAUUCCCUUAUCGCAUAAUUGAAGGAAUCCUUGCUUGCACCCAUAAUGACCAAUCUAUUAAAUCCCAUUCCCAAUUUGACCAGUCAAUUAAAUCUCUUUCCUGACUUGACCAAACAAAUAUAGCCCAUACCCAAUAUGUUGAUUUGUCACCUCCCUCUUCCCAUGAUUCUGCUCUCCCCUUAUCAAUUCCUACCAUUGAGCAUCCUACCUCCCCUAUCCAAUCCUCUUCCAUAAGGAUGAAGGAAAAGAAAAAGAAGAAGAA